AUUUGCCAAACCGCUUGGAUAUAACAUAGCUGCAAACUUAACCACAAGAUACAUCCUGUGUCCUGGUUUCGCAGAAGACUUUAACCCCUUAAGGACGCUGGACUGAAAAUGUCCGUCCAAAAUGAAAAAUAACGCCUGAUUGCGGCAAUCGUGGGGUUAAUCUUCCUGUAGUGUGUCUCCAUAUCAGAGGCACACUACCAUGGGCAGUUUCACUUUCACAGCCCAUGUGAUCACUCUGACCGGGAGUCAGAGUGAUCACACGUGCUUGUCUCUGGCUUUAAAAAAAAAA